GGGAACCUACGGGAGGCAGCAGUGGGGAAUAUUGCACAAUGGGGGGAACCCUGAUGCAGCAAUGCCGCGUGGGUGAAGAAGCACUCCGGUGCGUAAAGCCCUGUCAGCAGGGGAGAAAAUGACAGUACCUGACCAAGAAGCCCCGGCUAACUACGUGCCAGCAGCCGCGGUAAUACGUGGGGGGCAAGCGUUAUCCGGAUUUACUGGGUGUAAAGGGUGCGUAGGUGGCAGGGCAAGUCAGAUGUGAAAGCCCGGGGCUCAACCCCGGUACUGCAUUUGAAACUGUCCAGCUGGAGUGCAGGAGA
rnacentral:rRNA from 1 species